ACUGAGACACGGCCCAGACUCCUACGGGAGGCAGCAGUGGGGAAUAUUGCACAAUGGGCGAAAGCCUGAUGCAGCGACGCCGCGUGAGGGAUGACGGCCUUCGGGUUGUAAACCUCUUUCAGCAGGGAAGAAGCGAAAGUGACGGUACCUGCAGAAGAAGCGCCGGCUAACUACGUGCCAGCAGCCGCGGUAAUACGUAGGGCGCAAGCGUUGUCCGGAAUUAUUGGGCGUAAAGAGCUCGUAGGCGGCUUGUCACGUCGGUUGUGAAAGCCCGGGGCUUAACCCCGGGUCUGCAGUCGAUACGGGCAGGCUAGAGUUCGGUAGGGGAGAUCGGAAUUCCUGGUGUAGCGGUGAAAUGCGCAGAUAUCAGGAGGAACACCGGUGGCGAAGGCGGAUCUCUGGGCCGAUACUGACGCUGAGGAGCGAAAGCGUGGGGAGCGAACAGGAUUAGAUACCCUGGUAGUCCACGCCGUAAACGGUGGGCACUAGGUGUGGGCGACAUUCCACGUUGUCCGUGCCGCAGCUAACGCAUUAAGUGCCCCGCCUGGGGAGUACGGCCGCAAGGCUAAAACUCGUUGUCCGUGCCGCAGCUAACGCAUUAAGUGCCCCGCCUGGGGAGUACGGCCGCAAGGCUAAAACUCAAAGGAAUUGGCGGGGGCCCGCACAAGCGGCGGAGCAUGUGGUUUAAUUCGACGCAACGAGAAGAACCUUCCCAAGGCUUGACAUACACCGGAAAACCCGAGAGACAGGGUCCCCCUUGUGGUCGGUGUACAGGUGGUGCAUGGCUGUUGUCAGCUCGUGUCGUGAGAUGUUGGGUUAAGUCCCGCAACGAGCGCAACCCUUGUCCCGUGUUCCCAGCAGCCCCUUGUGGUGGUGGGGACUCACGGGAGACCGCCGGGGUCAACUCGGAGGAAGGUGGGGACGACGUCAAGUCAUCAUGCCCCUUAUGUCUUGGGCUGCACACGUGCUACAAUGGCCGGUACAAUGAGCUGCGAUACCGCGAGGUGGAGAGAAUCUCAAAAAGCCGGUCUCAGUUCGGAUUGGGGUCUGCAACUCGACCCCAUGAAGUCGGAGUCGAUAGUAAUCGCAGAUCAGCAUUGGUGCGGUGAAUACGUUCCCGGGCCUUGUACACACCGCCCGUCAUGUCACGAA
rnacentral:rRNA from 1 species